AGGCGUUCCAGGGAGAUCCCCGACAAGGGGCUGAGACACCGAUGGAUCGGCGCCUUUCCGCCGAUCAGCGCGGAAAUCCUUCGAACCUGAUCCGGCUCAUACCGGCGUAGGGAUUGGACGGGGUCCGCGGA
rnacentral:ncRNA from 2 species